rnacentral:rRNA from 1 species
AUUGAACGCUGGCGGCAUGCCUAACACAUGCCAGUCGAACGGCAGCGCGGGGGCAACCCUGGCGGCGAGUGGCGGACGGGUGAGGAAUGCAUAGGAAUCUGCCCGGUUGUGGGGGAUAACGUAGGGAAACUUACGCUAAUACCGCAUACGACCUUCGGGUGAAAGUGGGGGACCUUCGGGCCUCACGCGAUCGGAUGAGCCUAUGCCCGAUUAGCUAGUUGGCGGGGUAAGAGCCCACCAAGGCGACGAUCGGUAGCUGGUCUGAGAGGAUGAUCAGCCACACUGGAACUGAGACACGGCCCAGACUCCUACGGGAGGCAGCAGUGGGGAAUAUUGGACAAUGGGCGCAAGCCUGAUCCAGCAAUGCCGCGUGUGUGAAGAAGGCCUUCGGGUUGUAAAGCACUUUUGUUCGGGAAGUAAUCCGUGUGGUUAAUACCCGUACGGGAUGACGGUACCGAAAGAAUAAGCACCGGCUAACUUCGUG